AUGAACGCUGGCGGCGUGCCUAAUACAUGCAAGUCGAGCGAACAGACGAGGGGCUUGCUCCUCUGACGUUAGCGGCGGACGGGUGAGUAACACGUGGAUAACCUACCUAUAAGACUGGGAUAACUUCGGGAAACCGGAGCUAAUACCGGAUAAUAUAUUGAACCGCAUGGUUCAAUAGUGAAAGACGGUUUUGCUGUCACUUAUAGAUGGAUCCGCGCCGCAUUAGCUAGUUGGUAAGGUAACGGCUUACCAAGGCAACGAUGCGUAGCCGACCUGAGAGGGUGAUCGGCCACACUGGAACUGAGACACGGUCCAGACUCCUACGGGAGGCAGCAGUAGGGAAUCUUCCGCAAAGGGCGAAAGCCUGACGGAGCAACGCCGCGUGAGUGAUGAAGGUCUUCGGAUCGUAAAACUCUGUUAUUAGGGAAGAACAAAUGUGUAAGUAACUAUGCACGUCUUGACGGUACCUAAUCAGAAAGCCACGGCUAACUACGUG
rnacentral:rRNA from 1 species